AUUGAACGCUGGCGGCAUGCCUUACACAUGCAAGUCGAACGGCAGCACGGGGGCAACCCUGGUGGCGAGUGGCGAACGGGUGAGUAACGCAUCGGAACGUGCCCAGUAGUGGGGGAUAACUAGUCGAAAGAUUAGCUAAUACCGCAUACGACCUAUGGGUGAAAGCGGGGGACCUUUACCGGCCUCGCGCUAUUGGAGCGGCCGAUGUCUGAUUAGCUAGUUGGCGGGGGUAAAAGCCCACCAAGGCUUCGAUCAGUAGCUGGUCUGAGAGGACGACCAGCCACACUGGGACUGAAACACGGCCCAGACUCCUACGGGAGGCAGCAGUGGGGAAUUUUGGACAAUGGGCGCAAGCCUGAUCCAGCCAUGCCGCGUG
rnacentral:rRNA from 1 species